GAUGAACGCUGGCGGCGUGCCUAAUACAUGCAAGUAGAACGCUGAAGGAGGAGCUUGCUCUUCUGGAUGAGUUGCGAACGGGUGAGUAACGCGUAGGUAACCUGCCUGGUAGCGGGGGAUAACUAUUGGAAACGAUAGCUAAUACCGCAUGACAACAGUUAUUGCAUGAUAACUGUUUAAAAGGGGCAACUGCUCCACUACCAGAUGGACCUGCGUUGUAUUAGCUAGUUGGUGAGGUAACGGCUCACCAAGGCGACGAUACAUAGCCGACCUGAGAGGGGGAUCGGCCACACUGGGACUGGGACACGGCCCAGACUCCUACGGGAGGCAGCCGUAGGGAAUCUUCGGCAAUGGACGGAAGUCUGACCGAGCAACGCCGCGUGAGUGAAGAAGGUUGUCGGAUCGUAAAGCUCUGUUGUAAGAGAAGAACGAGUGUGAGAGUGGAAAGUUCACACUGUGACGGUAGCUUACCAGAAAGGGACGGCUAACUACGUG
rnacentral:rRNA from 1 species